CGAUUUUUUGCAUUUGAGAAGCUGUAAACGAUGUUUGACGGUUGAUUACAGCCGAUAAAUGGACUUUAUUUCCAGUUCACUAUAACGAUGCGAGAGGUGAUGUAGAUUUUACACCACAGAUAGUAUAUAAGGACCCAAUCGAGCCAUGGAUCUUCAGUUUAUCAGACACGCUACAAGCAAACAGAAGAGAAGACUUGAAACUCAAGCGAAUUUUGCAGUGACUUAUAACUCCUAUUACAAAGGGAAAACUUUACCAGAAGUUUAUAUUUUAAUUCCUUGGAAAAUACUCUGCUGAUUUAAAAAGAAAAAGAAAAGAAGAUGGCCAUUGUUUUACCAAAAGAAUUCCAGAUUGAUUGCGUCUUGGAAAGCUAUCAAGAACGGGAGACCGGGCUCGGUGUCUCAACGAAGCUGAACAGCUUCAAAAGCAACAUCUCAAGUUUGGCUCUAGUGCCACCGCAGAGCAUCUUAAACGUCUCCGACGUCCAGCAGUCGCAUAUUCUCCCCCCAAGGAGGUAAAAGAUGAAAAGACUUGAACUUGAAAGAAUGUGUUCAUCACAGCCGGUGUCCAAAGUUCUCCAACAAUGGAAAACGGUGCUGAGACUACGUGUUCAUCUUCGAGUAAGAGAAACCAGUUUGCGGGAAGAUAUUGUGACUCAAUGCCUAAAAACUUGGUUUCUGUUGUUUCGGAAACGACUCGGACAUGAAUUCCAGUGAAUCUCAAGAGAACAUUCUCGUUUAUUUAUUUUUUCUGUAUUUAAUUAACUUAUUUAUUAUUAUUUAUUCCAAGCAUUUCAAUGAAAGCCACUUUUUAUUAGCAUUUAUACAUAAGUGAUGUUUUACAAUGUUUAUUUAUGAACUUUUGCCAUGGAUGUCCCGUAGCUACACAAUGAACUCAGAUCUUCAAAGAAACACAGAGUUGACCGGACAUAUGAAUAGGGAAGAAGAAAAAGAAACGUAGAAUUGGUGCGGUCAGAAAUGUGACAAUGUCUUCAGAAUUUCUAGUCAGUGUUUCACCUCAUUUAUAACAUUGCUCAAUGUGUAGUCUGAUGUUGUUGUUUUACAGAUGAAUAUCUAUUUA